CCUACGGGAGGCAGCAGUGGGGAAUAUUGCACAAUGGGGGAAACCCUGAUCCAGCAACGCCGCGUGAGUGAAGAAGUUUUUCGGUAUGUAAAGCUCUUUCAGCAGGGAAGAAGAUGACGGUACCUGUUUAAGAAGCCCCGGCUCACUCCAUGCCAGCAGCGCCGGUAAUACGUAGGGGGCGAGCGUGAUCCGGAGGGACUGUGUGUAAAGGGGGCGCAGACGGCAGUGCAAGUCUGGAGUGAAAGCCCGGGGCCCAACCCCGGAACUGCUCUUGAAACUGUGCGGCUAGAGUACAGGAGGGGUAGGUGGAAUUCCUAGUGUAGCGGUGAAAUGCGUAGAUAUUAGGAGGAACACCAGUGGCGAAGGCGGCCUGCUGGACAGUAACUGACGUUGAGGCACGAAAGCGUGGGGAGCAAACAGGAUUAGAUACCCUGGUAGUC
rnacentral:rRNA from 1 species